GAAAGUAAGCAAGGGCGCAUGGCGGAUGCCUUGGCUCUCGGAGGCGAUGAAGGACGUGAUAAGCUGCGAAAAGUCACGGGGAGGUGCAAAUAACCCUUGAUCCGUGAAUCUCCGAAUGGGACAACCCGGUAUUCUGAAGGAAUACCAUCCAUCCAAGAUGGAAGCUAACGCAGGGAACUGAAACAUCUUAGUACCUGCAGGAAGAGAAAAUAACAAUGAUUCCCCCAGUAGUGGCGAGCGAACGGGGAAGAGCCCAAACCAUACGUGUUACGGCAUGUAUGGGGUUGUAGGACCGCGCUGUUGCAAGAAAUUUCGUGAGAAGAACAGCCUGGAAAGACUGACCACAGACGGUGACAGUCCGGUAUUCGAAGCGAAACGAAGCAUAGCGGUAUCCUGAGUAGCGCGGAACACGAGGAAUUCUGCGUGAAUCUGCCGGGACCAUCCGGCAAGGCUAAAUACUCCCGAGAGACCGAUAGUGAACCAGUACCGUGAGGGAAAGGUGAAAAGCACUUCGAACAGAAGAGUGAAAUAGUACCUGAAACCGUGCGCCUACAAGCGGUCGGAGCUCCGCAAGGAGUGACGGCGUGCCUUUUGCAUAAUGAACCUACGAGUUGCCGUCUCUGGCGAGGUUAAGGAACAUGAGUUCCGGAGCCGAAGCGAAAGCGAGUCUGAACAGGGCGUCCAGUCAGUGGCGGCAGACGCGAAACCAAGUGAUCUACCCUUGGCCAGGAUGAAGUCUGGGUAACACCAGAUGGAGGUCCGCACCAAUAAGCGUUGAAAAGCUUCUGGAUGAGCUGAGGGUAGGGGUGAAAGGCUAAUCAAACUUGGAGAUAGCUCGUACUCCCCGAAAUGCAUUUAGGUGCAGCCUCGCGGGUUACUGAUGUGAGGUAGAGCGACUGAUUGGAUGCGAGGGCUUCACCGCCUAUCAAGUCCUGACAAACUCCGAAUGCGCAUCAGUUUUACCGCGGGAGUGAGGGCAUGGGUGCUAAGGUCCGUGCCCGAGAGGAGAAGAAUCCGGACUAUCAGCUAAGGCCCCGAAAUGACAGCUAAGUUAAACUAACGAAGUCUGAUUGCUAAGACAGCUAGGAUGUUGGCUUGGAAGCAGCCAUUCAUUUAAAGAGUGCGUAACAGCUCACUAGUCGAGGAAUCGGGCGUGGAUAAUAAUCGGGUAUCAAGUUGUCUGCCGAAGCUAUAGAAUCAGCAAUGAUUGGUAGGGGAGCAUUCCAUUCGGCGUUGAAGGCGUACCGUGAGGUAUUCUGGAGCGUAUGGAAAAGCAAAUGUAGGUAUAAGUAACGAUAAAGGGGGCGGGAAACCCCCUCGCCGAAAGACUAAGGUUUCCUGAUCAACGCUAAUCGGAUCAGGGUAAGUCGGGACCUAAGGCUCAGCCGAACGGCGAGGCCGAUGGCAGAAACGGUUAAGAUUCCGUUACUACCUUCAGGAGUGACGUGGGGAAGCAGUAGUGACACCAUCGCGGACUGACGGAAUAGUCCGUUGAAGAGUGUAGGCGUUGAUUUCCGCAGGCAAAUCCGCGGAGAGAGCCGAACUUGAGAGUAUGGAGCGUCCUUCGGGACAAUCCAAUAGCAUGGGUAACCAGACUGCCGAGAAAAUCCGCUAAACAUAAUUCUGAAGGUACCCGUACCGCAAACGGACACACGUAGUCGGGUUGAAUAUACUAAGGCGCUUGAGUGAAUCACGGUUAAGGAACUAGGCAAACUGACCCUGUAACUUCGGGAUAAAGGGUCCCUACCCAGAGAUGGGAGGGCGCAGAGAAUAGGUCCAGGCAACUGUUUAACAAAAACACAGGGCUGUGCCAAUAUGAAAGUAGACGUAUACAGCCUGACACCUGCCCGGUGCUGGAAGGUUAAGAGGAGAUGUCAUCGCAAGAGAAGCAUUGAAUUGAAGCCCCAGUAAACGGCGGCCGUAACUAUAACGGUCCUAAGGUAGCGAAAUUCCUUGUCGGGUAAGUUC
rnacentral:rRNA from 1 species